UACGUAGGGGGCAAGCGUUGUCCGGAAUCAUUGGGCGUAAAGAGCGUGUAGGCGGUCCGGUAAGUCGGCUGUGAAAGUCCAGGGCUCAACCCUGGGAUGCCGGUCGAUACUGCCGGACUAGAGUUCGGAAGAGGCGAGUGGAAUUCCCGGUGUAGCGGUGAAAUGCGCAGAUAUCAGGAAGAACACCUAUGGCGAAGGCAGCACUCUGGGACGGUACUGACGCUGAGACGCGAAAGCGUGGGGAGCGAACAGG
rnacentral:rRNA from 1 species